rnacentral:rRNA from 1 species
CAGCGACGCCGCGUGGGGGAUGACGGCCUUCGGGUUGUAAACCUCUUUUACCACCAACGCAGGCUCCACGUUCUCGUGGGGUUGACGGUAGGUGGGGAAUAAGGACCGGCUAACUACGUGCCAGCAGCCGCGGUAAUACGUAGGGUCCGAGCGUUGUCCGGAAUUAUUGGGCGUAAAGAGCUCGUAGGCGGCAUGUCGCGUCUGCUGUGAAAGACCGGGGCUUAACUCCGGUUCUGCAGUGGAUACGGGCAUGCUAGAGGUAGGUAGGGGAAACUGGAAUUCCUGGUGUAGCGGUGAAAUGCGCAGAUAUCAGGAGGAACACCGGUGGCGAAGGCGGGUUUCUGGGCCUUACCUGACGCUGAGGAGCGAAAGCAUGGGGAGCGAACAGGAUUAGAUACCCUGGUAGUCCAUGCCGUAAACGUUGGGCGCUAGGUGUGGGGACUUUCCACGGUUUCCGCGCCGUAGCUAACGCAUUAAGCGCCCCGCCUGGGGAGUACGGCCGCAAGGCUAAAACUCAAAGGAAUUGACGGGGGCCCGCACAAGCGGCGGAGCAUGUUGCUUAAUUCGACGCAACGCGAAGAACCUUACCAAGGUUUGACAUCACCCGUGGACCUGUAGAGAUACAGGGUCAUUUAGUUGGUGGGUGACAGGUGGUGCAUGGCUGUCGUCAGCUCGUGUCGUGAGAUGUUGGGUUAAGUCCCGCAACGAGCGCAACCCUUGUUCCAUGUUGCCAGCACGUAAUGGUGGGGACUCAUGGGAGACUGCCGGGGUCAACUCGGAGGAAGGUGGGGACGACGUCAAGUCAUCAUGCCCCUUAUGUCUUGGGCUGCAAACAUGCUACAAUGGCCGGUACAAUGGGCGUGCGAUACCGUAAGGUGGAGCGAAUCCCUUAAAGCCGGUCUCAGUUCGGAUUGGGGUCUGCAACUCGACCCCAUGAAGGUGGAGUCGCUAGUAAUCGCGGAUCAGCAACGCCGCGGUGAAUACGUUCCCGGGCCUUGUACACACCGCCCGUCACGUCAUGAAAGUCGGCAACACCCGAAACUUGUGGCCUAACCCUUCGGGGAGGGAAUGAGUGAAGGUGGGGCUGGCGAUUGGGACGAAGUCGUAACAA